UUCGUCCGCCCAGGGUAAGUCGGGACCUAAGGAGAGGCCGAAAAGCGUAUCCGAUGGACAGCAGGUAGAAAUUCCUGCACUACGUAAUACUUAAAAGACAUAAAUGACACAGGAGUGGAAGAUAAGCGAGGAAGAGGAAAGACUCGUAUCGAAAGAUAUAGUGAAAAUUAAAGUAACGAAUUAUCAAGAAGCUAAUGGCGAGAAAAGUUUAUGGAUAUUGUAUUAAGUACCCGUACCGCAAACCGACACAGGUAGAUGAGGAGAAGAUCCUAAGAUGAGCGAGAGAAGCAUUGUUAAGGAACUCGGCAAACUGACCCCGUAACUUCGGAAUAAGGGGUGCUGGAGUAAAAUCCAGUCGCAGAGAAUAGUCCCAAGCAACUGUUUAACAAAAACACAGGUUUCUGCUAAAUCGAAAGAUGAAGUAUAGGAGCUGACACCUGCCCAGUGCUGGAAGGUUAAGGGAAAGAGUUAGACGCAAGUCGAAGCUUAGAACUAAAGCCCCAGUGAACGGCGGCCGUAACUAUAACGGUCCUAAGGUAGCGAAAUUCCUUGUCAGGUAAGUUCUGACCCGCACGAAAGGUGUAAUGAUUUGGGAGCUGUCUCGACAAUGUACUCGGCGAAAUUGUAGUACUAGUGAAGAUGCUAGUUACCUGCGACAAGACAGAAAGACCCCAUGGAGCUUUACUGCAGCUUGAUACUGGGUUUCGGUAAUUUAUGUACAGGAUAGGUGGGAUGCUAAGAAGUAUGUGCGCCAGCGCAUAUGGAGCAGACGUUGGGAUACCACCCUUAAAUUACUGGAAUUCUAACUAUAAGUCCUAAGCGGGCUUGAGGACAAUGUCAGGCGGGCAGUUUGACUGGGGCGGUCGCCUCCUAAAGAGUAACGGAGGCGCGCAAAGGUUUCCUCAGCGCGGACAGAAAUCGCGCGAAAGAGUGCAAAGGCAGAAGGAAGCUUAACUGAGAGACAGACAUGUCGAUCAGAUACGAAAGUAGGUCUUAGUGAUCCGGUGGUUGUAAGUGGAAAUGCCAUCGCUCAACGGACAAAAGUUACCCUGGGGAUAACAGGCUUAUCUCCCCCAAGAGUUCACAUCGACGGGGAGGUUUGGCACCUCGAUGUCGGCUCAUCACAUCCUGGAGCGGAAGUACGUUCCAAGGGUUGGGCUGUUCGCCCAUUAAAGUGGUACGCGAGCUGGGUUCAGAACGUCGUGAGACAGUUCGGUCCUUAUCUGUCGCAGGCGAAGGAUAUUUGAAGGGAGUUGACCUUAGUACGAGAGGACCAGGUUGAAGGAACCGAUGGUGCACCAGUUGUACUACCAAGUGCAUAGCUGGAUAGCUAAGUUCCGAAGGGAUAAACGCUGAAAGCAUCUAAGUGUGAAGCCCACCCUAAGAUAAGAUAUCCCAUAUCGAAAGAUAGUAAGAUUCCAAUAAGACUAAUUGGUAGAUAGGUUGGAGGUGUAAGUAUAGUGAUAUAUUGAGCUGACCAAUACUAAUAAAUCGAGGGCUUAACUA
rnacentral:rRNA from 1 species